rnacentral:rRNA from 1 species
AGGGUUUGAUUAUGGCUCAGGAUGAACGCUAGCGGCAGGCUUAACACAUGCAAGUCGAGGGGUAACAGGGAGUGCUUGCACUCCGCUGACGACCGGCGCACGGGUGCGUAACGCGUAUGCAACCUACCUUUUACAGGGGGAUAGUCAAGAGAAAUUUUGAAUAAUACCCCAUACGAUCUUAGUCACACCUGUGAUUUAGAGGAAAACUUCGGUGGUAAAAGAUGGGCAUGCGUCCUAUUAGUUAGAUGGUGAGGUAACGGCUCCCCAUGACUACGAUAGGUAGGGGUCCUGAGAGGGAGAUCCCCCACACUGGUACUGAGACACGGACCAGACUCUUACGGGAGGCAGCAGUGAGGAAUAUUGGACAAUGGAGGCAACUCUGAUCCAGCCAUGCCGCGUGCAGGAAGACUGCCCUAUGGGUUGUAAACUGCUUUUAUACAGGAAGAAACACUCCCUCGUGAGGGGGCUUGACGGUACUGUACGAAUAAGGAUCGGCUAACUCCGUGCCAGCAGCCGCGGUAAUUC